rnacentral:rRNA from 1 species
GACGAACGCUGGCGGCGUGCUUAACACAUGCAAGUCGAACGGAAAGGCCCUGCUUUUGUGGGGUGCUCGAGUGUCGAACGGGUGAGUAACACGUGAGUAACCUGCCCUUGACUUUGGGAUAACUUCAGGAAACUGGGGCUAAUACCGGAUAGGAGCUCCUGCUGCAUGGUGGGGGUUGGAAAGUUUCGGCGGUUGGGGAUGGACUCGCGGCUUAUCAGCUUGUUGGUGGGGUAGUGGCUUACCAAGGCUUGGACGGGUAGCCGGCCUGGGAGGGUGACCGGCCACAUUGGGACGGAGAUACGGCCCAGACUCGUACGGGGGGCAGCGGGGGGGAAUAUGGCACAAUGGGCGGAAGCCUGAGGCAGCAACGCCGCGUGCGGGAUGACGGCCUUCGGGUUGUAAACCGCUUUCGCCUGUGACGAAGCGUGAGUGACGGUAAUGGGUAAAGAAGCACCGGCUAACUACGUG